GCAAGUCGAACGUUAAAGUAUCUUCGGAUGUUAUUAAAGUGGCGCACGGGUGAGUAACACGUAGGUGACCUACCCUUUAGUGGGGGAUAACCAGGAGAAAUUCUGGCUAAUACCGCAUGAGAAGGUAACUUGAAAGGAUGCUUCGGCAUUCGCUAAGGGAUGGGCCUGCGGUACAUUAGCUUGUUGGUGGGGUAAUGGCCUACCAAGGCUACGAUGUAUAGCUGGUCUGAGAGGAUGAUC
rnacentral:rRNA from 1 species